UUGGCGACGGUUUGAAAGUGCCAUGUGUACUUUAACCAUGCCUAUAAAAAAUCGUCCACUUGAAAAUCUUAAAGUCAAGAAAACCGAUUUUAUGGACAGAUACGGUGGAUACAUAC